UCCCUCUCAAGAUCACACCUGGAGAGUUUCCAGUACUCUACCAGCCUCAGCUAUGGGAGGAAGAGUCCAGCAGAAGCAUACACUUUCCAUUAUUAGCUUGGCCGUGGCUAGCAAGUGGAAGGCAAUCUGCUACAAGU